rnacentral:rRNA from 1 species
GCAAGUCGAACGAGAACGGGUUAUAGCUUGCUAGAUGCUGACGAGCGGCGGACGGGUGAGUAACGCGUAGGAAUCUACCCAGUAGCGGGGGAUAAGCCAGAGAAAUUUGGUCUAAUACCGCAUACGCCCUUCGGGGGAAAGCAGGGGAUCUCCGGACCUUGCACUAUUGGAUGAGCCUGCGUGAGAUUAGCUAGUUGGUGAGGUAAUGGCUCACCAAGGCGACGAUCUCUAGCUGGUCUGAGAGGAUGAUC